UACGUAGGGUGCGAGCGUAAUCGGAAUUACUGGGCGUAAAGCGUGCGCAGGCGGUUUCACAAGCUCGAUGUGAAAGCCCCGGGCUUAACCUGGGAAUGGCAUUGAGGACUGUGGAGCUCGAGUGCGGCAGAGGGAGGUGGAAUCCACGUGUAGCAGUGAAAUGCGUAGAGAUGUGGAGGAACACCGAUGGCGAAGGCAGCCUCCUGGGCCGACACUGACGCUCAUGCACGAAAGCGUGGGAGCAAACGGG
rnacentral:rRNA from 1 species